GACGAACGCUGGCGGCGUGCUUAACACAUGCAAGUCGAACGGAAAGGCCUGCUUUCCCUUGUGGAUUGCGGGUGCUCGAGUGGCGAACGGGUGAGUAACACGUGAGUGAUCUGCCCCCAACUUGGGUAUAAGCCUGGGAAACUGGGUCUAAUUCCCGAUAGGACUGCAGGGUGGUGCCUGUGGUGGAAAACGAUUUUCUAGUGGUUGGGGAUGAGCUCGCGGCCUAUCAGCUUGUUGGUGGGGUAAUGGCCUACCAAGGCGGCGACGGGUAGCCGGCCUGAGAGGGUGGACGGCCACAUUGGGACUGAGAUACGGCCCAGACUCCUACGGGAGGCAGCAGUGGGGAAUAGUGCACAAUGGGCGGAAGCCUGAUGCAGCGACGCCGCGUGGGGGAUGACGGCCUUCGGGUUGUAAACUCCUUUCGACCGCGAGGAAGCCACCUGGUUGGAAGGGUGGUGACGGUAGUGGUAGAAGAAGCACCGGCUAACUACGUG
rnacentral:rRNA from 1 species